GAUGAAGAACGCAGCGAAAUGCGAUAAGUAAUGUGAAUUGCAUAAUUCAGUGAAUCAUCGAAUCUUUGAACGCACAUUGCGCCCGCCAGUAUUCUGGCGGGCAUGCCUGUUCGAGCGUCAUUUCAACCCUCAAGCCCAGCUUGGUGUUGGGGAUCGGCACAGGCGCCCUCGGGCGCCCGCCGUCCCCUAAAUCUAGUGGCGGUCCCGCUGCAGCCUCCUCUGCGUAGUAGUUUUCUCCUCGCAAGGGCAGCUCGGUGGCGACCUCGCCGUAAAACCCCCAACUUCUGAAAGGUUGACCUCGAAUCAGGUAGGAAUACCCGCUGAACUUAAGCAUAUCAAUAAGCGGAGGA
rnacentral:misc_RNA from 1 species